AACGAACGCUGGCGGCAUGCCUAACACAUGCAAGUCGAGCGAUGAAACCCUUCGGGGUGGAUUAGCGGCGGACGGGUGAGUAACACGUGGGUAACCUGCCUCAAAGAGGGGGAUAGCCUCCCGAAAGGGAGAUUAAUACCGCAUAACAUUAGUUUUUCGCAUGAAGGACUAAUUAAAGGAGUAAUCCGCUUUGAGAUGGACCCGCGGCGCAUUAGCUAGUUGGUGAGGUAAAGGCUCACCAAGGCGACGAUGCGUAGCCGACCUGAGAGGGUGAUCGGCCACAUUGGAACUGAGACACGGUCCAGACUCCUACGGGAGGCAGCAGUGGGGAAUAUUGCACAAUGGGCGAAAGCCUGAUGCAGCAACGCCGCGUGAGUGAUGAAGGUCUUCGGAUCGUAAAGCACUGUCGCCCGGGACAAAGAAAGUGAUGGUACCGGGAGAGGAAGCACCGGCUAACUCUGUGCCAGCCGCCGCAGUAACAC
rnacentral:rRNA from 1 species